GGGUGAGUGGCGGAACUGGUAGAAGCGCAGGACUUAGAAUCCUGUGGCCGAAAGGCCGUCGGGGUCCAACUCCCGGCUCGCCCA
rnacentral:tRNA from 1 species